rnacentral:rRNA from 1 species
UCAGGAUGAACGCUGGCGGUCUGCUUAACACAUGCAAGUCGAACGGAAUCCUUAGGGAUUUAGUGGCGGACGGGUGAGUAACACGUAAGAACCUGCCUCUAGGACGGGGACAACAGUUGGAAACGACUGCUAAACCCGGAUGAGCCGAAAGGUAAAAGAUUAAUCGCCUAGAGAGGGGCUUGCGUCUGAGGUGAGGUAAGAGCCCACCAAGGCGACGAUCAGUAGCUGGUCUGAGAGGAUGAUCAGCCACACUGGGACUGAGACACGGCCCAGACUCCUACGGGAGGCAGCAGUGGGGAAUUUUCCGCAAUGGGCGAAAGCCUGACGGAGCAAGACCGCGUGGGGGAGGAAGGUUCUUGGAUUGUCAACCCCUUUUCUCAGGGAAGAACACAAUGACGGUACCUGAGGAAAAAGCAUCGGCUAACUCCGUGCCAGCAGCCGCGGUAAUACGGGGGAUGCAAGCGUUAUCCGGAAUGAUUGGGCGUAAAGAGUCCGUAGGUAGUCAUCCAAGUCUGCUGUUAAAGAGCGAGGCUUAACCUCGUAAAGGCAGUGGAAACUGGAAGACUAGAGUGUAGUAGGGGCAGAGGGAAUUCCUGGUGUAGCGGUGAAAUGCGUAGAGAUCAGGAAGAACACCGGUGGCGAAGGCGCUCUGCUGGGCUAUAACUGACACUGAGGGACGAAAGCUAGGGGAGCGAAUGGGAUUAGAUACCCCAGUAGUCCUAGCGGUAAACGAUGGAAACUAGGUGUGGCCUGUAUCGACCCGAGCCGUGCCGAAG